CUGCCCAGUGAUUAAGUUUAAACGGCCGCGGUAUCCUAACCGUGCAAAGGUAGCAUAAUCACUUGCCUAUUAAUUGUAGGCUAGAAUGAAUGGAUAAACGUAAUAAAUACUGUCUCAAUCAUUAUAGUAUAAAUUAACAUUUGUUUGAAGAGUAACAAAUUAACUCGAAGGACAAGAAGACCCUAUAGAGCUUUAUCUUUAAUAUGGAACAUUACCACUUCACGGAUUCGGUUGGGGCGACCAAGGGAAGUUAUAUAACACCCUGUAUUAUAAAGAUAAAUUAAUCUGUAAAGUGACCCUAGUAAGAUCAUAAAAAUAAGCUACCUUAGGGAUAACAGGCUAAUUCUAUUUAAGAGUUCAUAUCUACAAUAGGGUUUGGCACCUCGAUGUUGGCUUAGGGCAUCAUCUUAGCGCAAAAGUUAAGUAUAGAUGGUUUGUUCAACCAGUAAACCCU
rnacentral:rRNA from 1 species